rnacentral:rRNA from 1 species
UCUGGUUGAUCCUGCCAGUAGUCAUAUGCUUGUCUCAAAGAUUAAGCCAUGCAUGUCUAAGUACAGACUUAUACAUAGUGAAACCGCGAAUGGCUCAUUAAAUCAGUUAUGGUUCCUUAGAUCCUACAAUCCUACUUGGAUAACUGUGGCAAUUCUAGAGCUAAGAGGGGGGGGGGAGCUCCGACCUCACGGGAAGAGCGCUUUUACUAGAACAAAACUAAUGGCGGUCGCAAGGCCGUCUCACCUUGGUGAUUCUGAAUAACUUUGUGCUGAUCGCAUGAGCUUGCCUCGGCGACGUAUCUUUCAAAUGUCUGCCCUAUCAACUUUCGAUGGUACGUGCUAUGCCUACCAUGGUUGUAACGGGUAACGGGGAAUCAGGGUUCGAUUCGGGAGAGGGAGCAUGAGAAACGGCUACCACAUCCAAGGAAGGCAGCAGGCGCGCAAAUUACCCACUCCUGGCACGGGGAGGUAGUGACGAAAAAUAACAAUACGGGACUCUUACGAACCCCGUAAUUGGAAUGAGUACACUUUAAACCUUUUAACGAGUAUCAAUUGGAGGGCAAGUCUGGUGCCAGCAGCCGCGGUAAUUCCAGCUCCAAUAACGUAUAUUAAAGUUGUUGCGUUUAAAAAGCUCGUAGUUGGAUCUCGGGUCCAGGCUUGCGGACCCCUCCUUGGGCGGUCCGCUGCUUGAUCCUGAACUACCGUGACCGAGUUUUGCCCUUGAGAGCUCUUGAAUGAAUGCCCGCAGAAACCGAGCCGUUUAUUUUAAAAGAAAAAGAAGGCACAGAUGAAAAGAGCUUGUGAGCGCUAUACCCAAGAGAGCCGAAAGUAGGAGAAGCUUUGAUUGCAACAACAGUUGCGGCGCAAAUGAGCACUUCGGCACUGCUGGUACCAAACGGGGUAAGGAGAGGCGAUUUAAACAGCUAAGUUGGGUAAUGCUAGGCUUUUCUGUGGUGAAACGGUUGACGAAACAGGCGCUUCCUACGAUAANCAUAAUAAGAAAGAUCGCGGGCGGAGGCGUAGAGCGGGAGAGAAAGUAGCGGAUGGCGCUAGGAUUAGAGUUGAGAGAGUACAAUCUUGAAAGGAGGCAGCGAGGAGGGCAGACGAGCCCGGCCCCCCGCGGGCCGCGACGUCAGAGGACGCAAGUAGCACCGACGUGGGAGGGCGGAGGAACAGAAACGCGACAACGCGCGAAGAAUGGGGGCACCCAGAAACAAGACUUGUAACGAAUUCAUAUUGCUGUGAUGUUACUUGUACUGACA